rnacentral:rRNA from 1 species
UACGGAGGGGGUUAGCGUUGUUCGGAAUUACUGGGCGUAAAGCGCGCGUAGGCGGACCAGAAAGUUGGGGGUGAAAUCCCGGGGCUCAACCCCGGAACGGCCUCCAGAACUCCUGGUCUUGAGUUCGAGAGAGGUGAGUGGAAUUCCGAGUGUAGAGGUGAAAUUCGUAGAUAUUCGGAGGAACACCAGUGGCGAAGGCGGCUCACUGGCUCGAUACUGACGCUGAGGUGCGAAAGUGUGGGGAGCAAACAGG